GCCGGGGUGGGGUAGUGGCUAUCCUGGGGGACUGUGGAUCCCCUGAGCCGGGUUCAAUUCCCGGUCCCGGCCCCA
rnacentral:tRNA from 1 species